GGUGCCCAUCUAACUUUCCUAGCUCAAGCCAUAGUCUGAAACGACCAUCUACAAACUGCUUGGAUGCAUGUAUUGAACAUUAGUAAAAACAGAAACAAAUAAAAAAAGAGCAGAUCAAAUGAGAAGUGAAAAUCUUCUCCUACACAGAUAAACAUAUGAGAAAUGAGUUUCCCAGUGAUUUGCUGAUCUUCAUCAAGAACAGUUAAGCUUUUUGAAUAAAUAUAGCAAUCAAGAAUUAUCUAGACAAGUCUCAAAUAAAAAAUCAAGCAUCAGAUUUCAUUUUAUAAAAAUAAAUCAAGCCUUGGUAGCAACAAUAUUGCUAGACUAGAAUUAUGACAAAAAAAUAUACAAAAUACAUAGGACGUAGGUAAACCAGCAUGUGUUACAACUAUAUAAACUUGUCCGUCAGACAUGGUUGAAACAAGCUCAAGAUUUGAUGUAGCUUUCCAGUAAAAUUUUACCAUCUGGUGGUUUUAGGUAUCCUGAUACUAGGGGUGACCAAUGGACUGGAACCAGCAGUUCCAAUUGAAGGUUCAGGAGCACUGGAACGUCCCCUCAGUUCCGAUUUCAUCAAAUCCAAUUGCUGAAAUUUUUUUUCAAUUUUUUAUAAAAGAAAAAAAAUUCGGUUUUGGCCCAGAACUGAACUGUGUAGUUCUGGUCUGGUUCAAAUCUAGUAUUGGUCAAUCCAGUCUUGACACAUUCUGGUUCUGAACCGGCCCUUGGAUGGGUCUACCUGAAUACCAUGCCCAGCAAGAUUAUAGCAUAUGAUAAUAACGAGAGAAUGUUUUUACCAGAAUUUGCUGUUCUGCUGCAGAGGUGCUUAAAUUUGGUGCAUCCUCUUUUUUCAAGGCUAAUAAUACCAGUUCAAAUAAAGGAUUAGUUAUAAUCAUAUUGACAACCAAUAAUAGAUAAACUUGGAAAACCAUAAAGAUUCUACCUCUGGCUUGCUAAAAUAGAUUCGUGUAAAGGCGUGUCCCAUACCUGAGAUAUUAUUUUCAUUUUGAUCAUCCUCGAACACGUGGUUAGGCCAAGGAUUACAAUGAUGCAAAACUAUUUCAUGAGAAAGUUUUAGGUAACAGGCUUAGCCUUAGAAAAUUGCGGAAAAAGAAGAAAACAUACUUGGGCCUUGAUUCCAGAGAGUAACAAAGACUCUUAUUGUCAUCAACAAGUUUAGAGAUUUCU
rnacentral:misc_RNA from 1 species